rnacentral:rRNA from 1 species
UACAGAGACCUCAAGCGUUAUCCGGAAUCAUUGGGCGUAAAGCGUGCCGAUAAGCGGCUUAGUGGGUCCAAGAUUAAAGGCCAAGGCUUAACCUUGUGUUUGUCUUGGAAACUACUAGGCUAGAAGAACAAAGAGGUGGCUAGAACUCUGCAAGUACCGGUGAAAUGGGUUGAUAUGCAGGGGAAUACCCAAAGCGAAGGCAGGCCACUGGGUGUUUCUUGACGCCGCUAGGACGAAAGCGUGGGGAGCGAAGCGG